rnacentral:rRNA from 1 species
GAUGAACGCUGGCGGCGUGCUUAACACAUGCAAGUCGAACGGGAAAUAUUUCAUUGAGACUUCGGUGGAUUUGAUCUAUUUCUAGUGGCGGACGGGUGAGUAACGCGUGGGUAACCUGCCUUAUACAGGGGGAUAACAGUCAGAAAUGGCUGCUAAUACCGCAUAAGCGCACAGAGCUGCAUGGCUCAGUGUGAAAAACUCCGGUGGUAUAAGAUGGACCCGCGUUGGAUUAGCUUGUUGGUGGGGUAACGGCCCACCAAGGCGACGAUCCAUAGCCGGCCUGAGAGGGUGAACGGCCACAUUGGGACUGAGACACGGCCCAGACUCCUACGGGAGGCAGCAGUGGGGAAUAUUGCACAAUGGGGGAAACCCUGAUGCAGCGACGCCGCGUGAAGGAAGAAGUAUCUCGGUAUGUAAACUUCUAUCAGCAGGGAAGAUAGUGACGGUACCUGACUAAGAAGCCCCGGCUAACUACGUGCCAGCAGCCGCGGUAAUACGUAGGGGGCAAGCGUUAUCCGGAUUUACUGGGUGUAAAGGGAGCGUAGACGGUGUGGCAAGUCUGAUGUGAAAGGCAUGGGCUCAACCUGUGGACUGCAUUGGAAACUGUCAUACUUGAGUGCCGGAGGGGUAAGCGGAAUUCCUAGUGUAGCGGUGAAAUGCGUAGAUAUUAGGAGGAACACCAGUGGCGAAGGCGGCUUACUGGACGGUAACUGACGUUGAGGCUCGAAAGCGUGGGGAGCAAACA